rnacentral:rRNA from 1 species
CGCUAGCGGCAGGCCUAACACAUUGCAAGUCGAGGGGUAACAGGGAGCUUGCUCCGCUUACGACCGGCGCACGGGUGCGCAACGCGAAUGCAAUCUACCCUCUUACUAGGGGAAUAGCCCAGAGAAAUUUGGAUUAAUGCCCUAUGUUAUAUUGAGUCGGCAUCGAUUUUAUAUUAAAGGUUACGGUAAGAGAUGAGCAUGCGUCCCAUUAGUUAGUUGGUAAGGUAACGGCUUACCAAGGCAUCGAUGGGUAGGGGUCCUGAGAGGGAGAUCCCCCACACUGGUACUGAGACACGGACCAGACUCCUACGGGAGGCAGCAGUGAGGAAUAUUGGACAAUGGACGGAAGUCUGAUCCAGCCAUGCCGCGUGUAGGGAAGACUGCCCUAUGAGUUGUAAACUACUUUUAUACAGGAAGAAUAAGAUCUACGUGUAGAUUGAUGACGGUACUGUAAGAAUAAGGACCGGCUAACUCCGUGCCAGCAGCCGCGGUAAUACGGAGGG